AACGAACGCUGGCGGCAUGCCUAACACAUGCAAGUCGAACGAGACCUUCGGGUCUUGUGGCGCACGGCUGCGUAACGCGUGGGAACCUGCCCUUAGGUUCGGAAUAACUCCCCGAAAGGGGUGCUAAUACCGGAUAAUGUCUUCGGACCAAAGAUUUAUCGCCUUUGGAUGGGCCCGCGUUGGAUUAGCUAGUUGGUAGGGUAAAAGCCUACCAAGGCGACGAUCCAUAGCUGGUCUGAGAGAAUGGUCAGCCACACUGGGACUGAGACACGGCCCAGACUCCUACGGGAGGCAGCAGUGGGGAAUAUUGGACAAUGGGCGAAAGCCUGAUCCAGCAAGGCCGCGUGAGUGAUGAAGGCCUUAGGGUUGUAAAGCUCUUUUACCCGGGAUGAUAAUGACAGUACCGGGAGAAUAAGCUCCGGCUAACUCCGUG
rnacentral:rRNA from 1 species